AAAUUCACUAUGGAGGCUACUAUUGAUCCCAGCAAAGGGAUACUUGUCUAUGAGGAGCCUGGCAGGCCAACCUGGGUGAGGUCCAGCUCUCCCCACCCUCUGAAGGACAUAAUGAUGGGGAUAGCUCUAUACAGGCUGCCUGCCCGCCCUGCUGGUAAUUAUGAACCCCGUCCCUAUGGCACAUAAUUCUACACAAUUUGUUCCAAAUCUGACAGCGGUGGAUCUCGAACACAGGGGAACCUCUGUGGAAUGGUCAGCAGCACAUCUAUCAGCACUAACCAAAUUCCAACCAAAGGCAAAAAAAUUCCACUGGCCAGCAUUUCUGCAGCUCUGAGGAGUAAUGAUGACUCAUGUGCACAAUGAUGACUUUUCCA